rnacentral:rRNA from 1 species
AUGGACAGUUACAAAGGGAACAACAACCUUAGAUCAUGCACUUCAAGUUCAGGUCCCAUGGCACCAAAUGGUGUUGCAGGAAGUGUGGCUAAUGAUUCUGACCCGAUCCUUUACGUGGUCAGUGCCGUUUCAUUCAUCUUGGCAUUUUGGGCCACUGUCGCAUUCGUAUUUUGCCAUGCAUUUGGAAGGCGUCUUGUACUCAAACUGUAA